rfam:Canis lupus familiaris chromosome 21, whole genome shotgun sequence.
AGGAGGAACAACUGCAGUGGCGGGGCCAGCUCUGCAGCCCUGGAGUCAGCCCCCGAAGUAGCUCCGGAGCUCCCCGUCUGCAGGGCCUGGAGGCUCCGGGGCGGG